rnacentral:rRNA from 1 species
UACGGGGGGGGCAAGCGUUGUUCGGAAUUACUGGGCGUAAAGGGCUCGUAGGCGGCCAACUAAGUCAGACGUGAAAUCCCCAGGCUUAACCUGGGAACUGCGUCUGAUACUGGAUGGCUUGAAUUCGGGAGAGGGAUGCAGAAUUCCAGGUGUAGCGGUGAAAUGCGUAGAUAUCUGGAGGAAUACCGGUGGCGAAGGCGGCAUCCUGGACCGACAUUGACGCUGAUGAGCGAAAGCUAGGGGAGCAAACAGG